rnacentral:rRNA from 1 species
UACGUAGGGGGCAAGCGUUGUCCGGAAUCAUUGGGCGUAAAGCGCGUGUAGGCGGAUCGGUAAGUCUGUUCUGAAAGCCCGGGGCUCAACCCCGGGAGGCGGAUGGAUACUGCCGAUCUCGAGUCCGGAAGAGGCGAGUGGAAUUCCUGGUGUAGCGGUGAAAUGCGCAGAUAUCAGGAGGAACACCAAUGGCGAAGGCAGCUCGCUGGGACGUGACUGACGCUGAGACGCGAAAGCGUGGGGAGCAAACAGG